rnacentral:rRNA from 1 species
CCUACGGGCGGCAGCAGUGAGGAAUAUUGGUCAAUGGACGAGAGUCUGAACCAGCCAAGUAGCGUGAAGGAUGACUGCCCUAUGGGUUGUAAACUUCUUUUAUAUGGGAAUAAAACGUUCCACGUGUGGGAUUUUGUAUGUACCAUAUGAAUAAGGAACGGCUAACUCCGUGCCAGCAGCCGCGGUAAUACGGAGGAUCCGAGCGUUAUCCGGAUUUAUUGGGUUUAAAGGGAGCGUAGGUGGAUUGUUAAGUCAGUUGUGAAAGUUUGCGGCUCAACCGUAAAAUUGCAGUUGAAACUGGCAGUCUUGAGUACAGUAGAGGUGGGCGGAAUUCGUGGUGUAGCGGUGAAAUGCUUAGAUAUCACGAAGAACUCCGAUUGCGAAGGCAGUUCACUGGACUGCAACUGACACUGAGGCUCGAAAGUGUGGGUAUCAAACAGGAUUAGAUACCCUGGUAGUC